rnacentral:tRNA from 1 species
GCGCCCUUCGUCUAUCGGUUAGGACACUAGCCUUUCACGCUGGAGAGACGGGUUCGAUUCCCGUAGGGCGUA